GCAGACUCAGGUGAAAGGAUGUUUAGCAAGCAUGCGAAAGGACAAGUGAUGAAGAAUUCUUCCCUAAAAGCAAGCAUGAAUUGGUUCACCUUACACCUCAUUGCUGAGCUCCGUCUGUCAUGAUUCCACAGAAAGAAACUUUUGGUGGUGCUCUGGUAACUUCUUCCUCAGACCUGGGCCAAUUGGCAGAGCAAUGUCAGCUGAUACAGACUCACAUGGAUAAGACACACUCAGUGGACUGAACUGGACUGCUGGUAUAGUCAUGAAGUGUUUUCAAGCGGAUCAAGCUGCUGUUGCCGAAUCCUGUGAACUGAACUGCUGAUUUCCUGACAGUGCAGAUGGGAUUUGCCCCAAAGAACAAUUUCUAAACAGGCCCAUUUCCCCUGCAUCCUAAUAACCUUUCUUUUUUGCUACCUCUGGUGGUUGGUGGGCUGGAAGGGAAGUUGAAGCAUUUAAGAACCCAUAUUAGGGGCUGGAGAGAUGGCUCAGCGGUUAAGAGCACUGACUGCUCUUCCAGAGGUCCUGAGUUCAAUUCCCAGCAACCACAUGGUGGCUCACAACCAUCUGUAAUGUGAUCCGAUGCCCUCUUCUGGUGUGUCUGAAGACAGCGACAGUGUACUCACAUACAUGAAAUAAAUAAAUCUUUAAAAAAAAAAAAAAGAGAACCCAUAUUAAAAGUGGGUUUUGAAAAAUGUAAGCCAACACUGCUCUGCUUUGCCAUGAGGAGUCAGUUUAAACAGGAAUGACCCGGAGUCUUAAGCCAGGUGUCUCCCCACUUCCACCGUAUCAGUCUGACUGCCAACUGAGCCAUUUUCUUAUUGGGAUGCACCAGAUGUCCAGGGACCAGAUCCUGCUAGAAUAGUCAGGCUGGGUUACAUUGUCUAAACUCUAGAGGAUGUGUCUCUUGGAGAAAGAAGACCCUAGAUUUUAGCUCAAAACCCACUUCUGUAGGGAGGAGCUUCCUAUUUGCAGCCAACAUUUGCAGUUUUAAGUCUUGCUGGGAGUUUAAGGGCUGUGCAGGAUUGGAAAGAUGGCUCACUGGCUAAGAGCACUGGCUGCUCUUCCAGAGGACCGGGGUCCAACUCCCAGCACCCACAUGGCAACCAACACCUGUCUGUAACUCCAGUUCCAAGGCUUCUGACAUCCUCACACAGACAUACGUAUGGGCAAGACACCAAUGAACAUGAAAUAAAUUAUCUAAGAGGGGGCUUUGCUCUAUUCCCAGAACCUCUCCUUCCAGCCCAUCCUUUCCCAGGUAUUGUUAAGAUCUUAGAGCAUUGUACCGCCUUCCUCCUCCUGAGGGGGCUCUGACCGUCAAUGGCUGCUGGGGUAGAGAGUCAGUUUCUUCAGGGAUGCAGCCCCUGGAAGGCUGCCCAUGUUCCAGAGGGUGGUGCUGUACCCAUGUACACAUAAGCAGCACUACUCGAAGUCAGUGAGUUCAAAAGAGAACAUGAAAUUGAGAAGAAAUUGGAGCAGUCUGGGAGGAGUUGGAGGACAGAGUGCAAGGCAGAAAUAAUCAAAAUAUAUUGUGGAGAUGUAUGAAAUUUCCAACUGAUAAAUAAUACAUUUAAAAACUCUCUCUCUCUCUCUCUCUCUCUCUCUCUCUCUCUCUCUCUCUCUCUGUAAGACACACACACACACACACACACACACACACACACACACACAAACACACACCACUAUAGUACCCAGUAAUUACAGGAGCAUGUUGAAAUCUUCCCACAUGUCCAAAUCCUUACAAAUGACUGUGGCACACAUUUUUCUUUUUCUUUUUCUUUUUUUAUAAAGGCCGUGUGUGUGUGUGUGUGUGUGUGUGUGUGUGUGUGUGUGUGUGUGUGUGUCUGUGUGUGUGUCUGUGUGUGUGUCUGUGUGUGUGUUUCAUCUGGGAACUAAAUGGUCUAAGGCAGGGAAGAAGGCCCACACUGGGAUUUUUUUUUUUUAAGAUUUAUUUAUUAUAUUUAAGUACACUGUAGCUGUCUUCAGACACACCAGAAGAGGGCAUCAGAUCUCAUUUCAGAUGGUUGUGAGCCACCAUGUGGUUGCUGGGAUUUGAACUCAGGACCUCUGGUAGAGCAGUCAGUGCUCUUAACCACUGAGUCAUCUCUCUAGCCCCCAGACACACAUUUUUCUUAUGAAAUACAAUAUGGUAGAAAUUUUAAUUUUCUCCUCCCAGAAACACACUAGAAGUUUCUAAAAAUCUACAUUUUGAAAUGAAGAUCAAAGAGAUUAAGCUAGCUGCAUGAAAUGUUGGGUCGUUACUCCAGCUCACUUACUCAGCUUGGAGUCCGUUCUCACAGGCAGUCUCUCCUUAUCAACCUCAACCACUCUAUAAGAAGUAUCAUCCGGGUUCUAGAAGAAAGACUUCUUCUAGCUAAAGUAAUGAAUGAGUAAGUGAGUGGAUGAAUGGAUAUGUAUACGUGGAUGAAUGAAUGAAUGAAUGAAUGAAUGAAUGCAUGAGCAAGUAAAUAGUGAAUGAAUAAGAUAUGAAGGGAAUAAUUGGAAGUAUGAAUGAGUAAAUGAGUGUAUGUGAGUGUAUAGUGAGUGGAUGGAUGGAUGGAUGGAUGGAUGGAUGGAUGGAUGGAUGGACGGACGUAGGAACAUACAUAUUUACUCAGAUCCUGGAGUAAAAAUCUCAGUUUUCCUUCCUACCUGUUCUCUACUACUUCCAUUGAGACCUGUUCCUCUACCUUUAUUUCCAGAAAGCUCCUAACAGUUACGCUGGUGGGCCCCAGUGCACCUAACUCCUAGUAAACUGUAAUAUAAGAGUAGUUAGUGCACUAGUGGCCUUGGAUGGAGGGAAACAGACAGACUGGAAGGACAGGGGAGACAAACCACUGCUGUCGUGAAUGAGAACAAUCUACAUGUAUUAACUUUGCCUUUUUCUCUGUCAGCUUUCCAUAGAGUCCGUGAAGAGCGGCCUCAUGUUUUAAAAGCUGGGACCUAUGUUACCCACAAGGGUAUACAGCACACUGUCUAUAACCCACCGUGUGUUGAGAGGGUGUUUGUGUUCCAGUCUGACUGAUACCACAGUGAAAUGGAUAUACACCCGUUUGCACAAAUGUAUAAGUUACAGGGACAGAGAGGAGGAGAAAGGCCGUGGGAGAAGAGGAAGCAGCCAUGAGAGGAGAUGGACCGUGAAGAAGUCUAGACUAAGAGACAUAACCACAAAACUCUAAGACAUCGCUGGAAAGGACCUCACACCAUGAUCCUGACAACGCCUAUGACAGACGGGAUCAGGAUAUGGACAUGCCACUCCCACCUUAAGCCUGCCAGAAGAGAGACGAUCCAGCAGUCAAGGUUCCAUCCGAGGAAACUUCCAGGCGAAUAGCCACAAGAAUGAUAGAAGGUCACCCCACACCCUGUCGAUCUGCUGAAACUGUGACUCCAGUGCUCCUGAUCCUGCUCGCUUGCUGCUUGCUGUUUACGCUUUGAGCUUUUUGAGACCAGCCAGUAGCGCCCUUCUUGCACUUGGGUACCAGCAGGGGGCGAUACAGCAAGUUCACAGUGGGUGGCAAGAAGGCUAAUUGGAUUGCUGGUACUUAACUCCUCUCUCCCCGAACUUAACACCGAACUCUUGGUUGUCUGACAGUGACCCUGCAAUGGAAAUAAGAUACCCCCGGCCUCUUCCCACCUCUGGAAUUGCACUGUAACCCCCACUGUUGCAGGAUACAUGCUGCCACCAGAGAAUGCUUGGUGAGCUUGUACCUCAGGGCUUACUCCAUGCAUUAUGACCUGGUUGUAAAUAGAACUGAGGAUCUCUAAGCUCUAAUACAGCUUGUACCCAAAGUGACUUAUUAUUCAGGGGAGCAUGUCUUCAACCAACUGGCACCUCCAAACAAUCGAGUUAAAAGUGACUAUUUCUGCUGUGUUUCUAGGUUCUCUCCUUGGCAUAGGGCUGGCUGGGGCUGCUAGUGCAAGGGCCUCAGCCCUAAUACUCCAAAAUAAAAAUCGAAAGGCCCUAUGGAUAGCGACAGGUACAGAUAUAUAGGAGAUGGAAAAGUCCAUCCUGACCCUGCAGGAUUCCCUAUCCUCCCUGGCAGAAGUAGUCCUACAGAAUAGAAGACUCGCUGUUCUUCCACAGGGAGGACUCUAUGCAGCAUGUUGUUUCUAUGUUGACCACUCAGGGGCCAAAGAAUCCAUGGCCUUAGUCAGGAAGAGACUACAAGACAGCGCCUACUGAUGCUAGCUUCAACUUUUGGUCCCCACAUAAUCAAUGCUUUAGUUAGAGUUGUCAAGGAACGGAUUUAUUCUCAAACAACACCACCAGCCCAUAGAAACAUCUCAAGGACUCAAGAUGGCCCAAAACUGAAGGGGGAAAUGUGAAGGCUAGCUGGGCUGACUCCAUGACAGGGUUCAGUCUGCAGUUUAGCACUGGGCAAGUCCAUGCAUCAGAAGCUGCCUCUCUGUCUAGCCUGAGGCAAGGACAAUGGGUCAGCAGCAGUUUGCAGACUUCCUCAGCGACAGUUUCCAGUCCCCAUACUCUGGUAAUGGAAUGUCCCUAGAGAGGGGAUAAGGUAAAGGUCAUCCAUCCAGGAAUCCCCUAAUGUGCUUUAAAUCAGGCCUGUGAGCUCACUUGGUGAUCUCUCUGUCUUGGUAAUGGGAGGCCCCAGCGUGCUGGACUUCUGCAGAAUAAAACCCUCUUUGCGUUUACAUACUAUCCGAGUCUGGGGUGUCAGUCUUCAGUGGCGAAUCAUGGGCCCUUACAGGAGCAGUCAUGUCCUUUCUGUUUUUAUCUCUUUUUAAAUUCAGUUUCCAUCCUCAGCUUUCUGCAGAAGGAGGCUCCACCCCAUGUUGAGUCUGCUUGGCAGCUGCAGAGGACAGUUUGUACAGACUUUGAGAAGGAAAGUCAUUUGCAUUGUCCCCUGAUGCCCUUUUCAGGUGCAGGGGAGGCUUCCUCCCAUUUUUGUUCAUUACCAUGAAUCUUUUCAGGUUUUCUCUACACAGAUAUAGGAAGUGGAGCAUAAAUCUGUCUCCCUUCUUCAGAAGCCAUUGACUCAUCCAUAUCCAGAACCAUGGUCCUGGUCUUUAGUAUCAAUUCUCUAGAAUAAGCACCAGAAGUAUCCUUGGCAAACGGGUGCAAACCUGUGCCACCUGAAAAACCCUGUCCACAGAAAGGAAGCAUCUCUCUUCAUCAGUCUUCCUUAAAAUGCAGUCUGUUGGGAUGGAGAGAUGGCUCAGUGGUUAAGAGCACUGACUGCUCUUCCAGAGGUCCUGAGUUCAAGUCCCAGCACCCACAUGGUGGCUCACAACCAUCUGUAAUGGGAUCUGAUGCCCUCUUCUGGUGUGCAUGAAGUCAGCGACAGUGUAAAAGAGCCAGAGUUGGGGUCAAUCUAAGGCCAGUGGAAAAUUCCACCACAAACCUCCAAAAACAAAGACUCCUCCCUUCCAGGGAGGGUAGGGCUAGUUUAGUUCCUGACUUCCAAUCAUCACCCCCGCCCCCUGAAAGUCCAGAAUGGUUCACUGACCACGAGUCAGUUUGAAGGACACUUCGCCCCAUCAAUAGUACCCUGCCUAGUUACCAUUGUUUAAAUUUUGCCCCAAUUGUUUGCAGGUAUAUAACUCCCUGUUAGAAUCUGCUCAAGGUCAUCUCCCCCUUAAGUGGGAUGACCCCGACAUGUUGGAAUGAUUAAACUACUCUUGCUUUUGCAUCAAUCAUCAUCUCUGUGAGUCUCAUUCAAGAGAUCCUGGAAGAGGUUCAACUCGGACCUCACAAGUGUACCCACAUACAUGAAAUAAAUAAAUUUUUUUUAAAAAAAAAA